UACGAGGGGGGGCGAGCGUUGUUCGGAAUUAUUGGGCGUAAAGCGCGCGCAGGUGGUUCCUUAAGUCUGAUGUGAAAGCCCACGGCUCAACCGUGGAGGGUCAUUGGAAACUGGGGAACUUGAGUGCAGAAGAGGAAAGUGGAAUUCCAAGUGUAGCGGUGAAAUGCGUAGAGAUUUGGAGGAACACCAGUGGCGAAGGCGACUUUCUGGUCUGUAACUGACACUGAGGCGCGAAAGCGUGGGGAGCAAACAGG
rnacentral:rRNA from 1 species